ensembl:lncRNA
GCUCUGCUCAACCCUGAGUUACCUUAUGGCUCCUCGGUGUCUCUGUAACCGCGGAGUUUAUUCCCUGGCACAGGUAAACUGGGAAGCAGACUCUUGAGUUCACAGCUGGCCUGUGGGUUUUGCAUCUCGUUAAGGAGCACCUCGUCAUACAGUAUGACCGAUGAGACUGGGUCAUCUACAUUAAAAGUGACUCAUUAAGGUGCCCCAGUGGACAGUCUCAGGUGAACCCACCCUUCCAGCCAUCCCCACUGACAUGUGAACGAAGCCGUCUUGGAUCCUCCACCUAAUAAAUGCCACCUGAUGACCUCUGCCAUUGCCACAUGGAACAGAAGCAUCACCCAGCUGCUCCUUGCCCAAUUCCUGACCGAGGUGGAGCUAGAAAGUAGGUUCUGUCUCCUUACAAUGAGUGGGCUUUACGCAGAGGCCCAGAUGCUCGGACUGUGGGUAAGAAGGAGCCAUCUCCCACCCUCCUGAGACCCAGGGAAGAUGAGAGGAGGCUCCCUAGCCAGAGAAGGUGAGUAGAGUUGUUCUUCUGGCAUUUUUCUCUUGGACCCUGCUUCCUAAGGGGCCAGCUGAAAAUGGUCCUGAUUCUUUUGCAAGUGCCCAGGCAAAAAGGCCAGUCUGCCCAGAGGCAUUGAGGGUGACAAGAUGAGAUUCGGGGCCAGGAUUGUCUAGGCAUAUUUUACCCACGAAGGCUCUUAAAACUUGGAGCUACGAACUUCAGGGUGCACUGAAAUUACCCACUGUUCUGGAGAGAUUACAGACCCUGUGAAUCAGCGCAUCUGGGUGUGUCUCAGGAAUCUGCAUUUGAACCGUCUCACGUGAAUCUGCUGUGGUGGCUCCACGUGGAACACAUGAAAUGGCGGCCAGCAGGGCAGAAUUCAAGCUCCUUCAUAGUGACCACAAGUCCUUUUGUGACAUGCACUACCACUUCCUCUUUGGACUCUUACUUAUUAUGGAGGGCAGAGGUUGGCCCCCACUCCUCUUCUGCCUCCGAUCUUCCUGCACCAUGUCACCCAAAUUCUCACCACAUUUGGUUCUAAUAAUUUGUCUGUGUGUCUGCUUUCCUCCUUAGCACCUGAGGGCAGAGGACUUUUCUUAUGUAUAUUAAAUCCUAGAAAUGCCUAGCGUUGUAUGUGGCACAUAGGAUGAAAGGCCCAGUCAAUGAAAGUUUACAUGGACUGACUGCUGGUUUUCAGAGAAAGGAGGAGUUGGAGUCAACUGAGGGGAAGAAAAAAGAAAUACCUUAGAGCUAAAUCCCAUCAUCCACUAAUGUAUCUAACAGCAUGGGCACCCAAAUCCACAUCAGUCAGCAAGCGCUAUUUCUAAGGUCUGUUCUUCAACUGUUGUAGGGUUCUCUAGGGUGCCCAAGGAAAGAACGUGUUAUUAAGUGGCAUUUGCUUAGAGUGUUGUAGGCCCCAGGGAGGAUACAGACCAGGGCUCUCUUACAAAGAUAGCUAUUUACUCCUUCCAGUCCUCCUCCCAAUAAUCCUUUAAUAGCAAUCUUCACAUCCCCAUUUUGUACCUGUUGAAACUGAGUCACAGGUCUGACAACUUUCCC